AACGAACGCUGGCGGCAUGCCUAACACAUGCAAGUCGAACGAGAUCUUCGGGUCUCGGGGCGCACGGGUGCGUAACGCGUGGGAAUCUGCCCUUUGGUUCGGAAUAACAGUUGGAAACGACUGAUAAUACCGGAUGAUGACGAAAGUCCAAAGAUUUGUCGCCAGAGGAUGAGCCCGCGUAGGAUUAGCUAGUUGGUGUGGUAAAGGCGCACCAAGGCGACGAUCCUUAGCUGGUCUGAGAGGAUGAUCAGCCACACUGGGACUGAGACACGGCCCAGACUCCUACGGGAGGCAGCAGUGGGGAAUAUUGGACAAUGGGCGAAAGCCUGAUCCAGCAAUGCCGCGUGAGUGAUGAAGGCCUUAGGGUUGUAAAGCUCUUUUACCCGGGAUGAUAAUGACAGUACCGGGAGAAUAAGCUCCGGCUAACUCCGUGCCAGCCGCCGCCGUAA
rnacentral:rRNA from 1 species